rnacentral:lncRNA from 1 species
UUCACACCACCCCGCACCUCCCGUUGCAGCCAGCCUUUCACGAGAGCAUCGGGGUCCUCCUCCACUGGCCCUGGCCCCUUCUCCACGAUGAGACUGCGCAUCUCCUCCGACACCAGCAGGGACCGCUCCGAGCCACUGCUGGUGCGGGUGGGCUGGCUCAGGCUCACCUCCAGGGAUGCCCGGUCUCCCUGGGCGCGGAGCUCGAAGGACGCCUCCUCCUCGGCCUCGCCGUCCGCUUCCCGCUCCGCCUCGCCGUAGUCCCGCCGCAGCAGCGUGAAGCCCUGCCGGCAGCACAGCAGCCACCAGAGCCCGCCGGGGAACGGCAUCGCCCCGCCGGGCCCGG